UAGAUACAGUUUAUGUAUCGGAGGCCAGCUGAGAGCUUGAGCAAAAGAAUACACCCUCAUUGUAAAAAAAAAUACACCCUCAUUGUAUAGCAGGCCUGUCUCCCAAAUAGGACCGUUGGAGGGUGGGAGUGAGACCCGUUACAAAAUACUAGUGUGACAAUUUCUUGACCGUGACAUCCCUAACGUUAGUUGGAUUACAUUUCUGUAUAAGUACGGUUUUAAGUGUAAGUUACUCUGUUUAAUUUGCUUAGAGUUUGUUUGUAGAGUCACUUAUACUAAAAUGUAGUUUAAAUGUAAAAUGCUUAAAGAUAAAAUUGUAUAGUCACUAUUAACUAUUACUAUUGUCACAUGUAUAAUUGUUUGUUUUAGGACACACUUUGCCAUGCAGGCCACUGGAUACUGACUACUGAAGGUUAGGUUGUGUGUGACGGUGCUCAGCACAGCUUCAUGUCUGGCCUUCCCACUCUGUUCAUAGCAUGUUACAUAUUCAAUCAUGAGUACCAGGAUGGGGCAGCAUGUACUUGGAGUCCAAUGAAAGAUAUUAAUCCAGAGAGUGGAACAAGAAGCGUCAUCUAAAAUGCCAGGAUACAGAAGAAACAGGUUGCAGUGAACCCACAUGUCGCCGCUCUUCUAAACACAAUGAUGAAUAUUCAGUGUAAUCGAUGAAAAUUCCAGCUACUUGUUGUGCUCUGAUGGAUCAAGAUGUGGACCGUUUUACAGACUCACUUGGGCCUUGUUUUGCAAUGUUGUUUCAUGAUGGUAAUGUUGGUUAACGUGUUGUUUAAACAUGAAUGUUUAAAGAGCCAUGUUGGAUACUAUGAAGUUGUUACUGAAUAAAAUUAUUUCAUGUACAACAACGUACACAAUUUGUCUGUAAUGUAUUUUUGUAUCAAUUAAAAAAAAAUAAACACUGUAUAUCCAGUAUGCAAAACAUACUGGAUAUACAGUGAUUUAUGUAUUUCUUCUAAAUAAAGUAAAUUAAAAUCAAGCAAUUUGCUGUAAAAAAUACAGCAUUAUACUGUUGCUAUUCAAAAUUACAGUUUUUCCUGUAUUCUGCAAUUACAGUAAAUGGCUGUAAAUUAAAUUACAGUACUGUGGCUGUACAAUUUACAGUAACUGGCUGGCAACCCUGCUGCCAGUAGUUUACU